AAGAAGAAGAAGACCUGUUGUAUUCACGGCUGUCGUAAUAGGUCAGAUGAUGAAGUCAAGCGGAGCUUCUUCCGUAGAAAUCUAUGGUUUGUUAGAUUCAAACGCAAGGAUUAUCAGCCUUCCAAACACAGCAAAGUCUGCUCCGAUCAUUUUAUAAGUGGUUGUCCUGGGCCCUCUGAUCACCAUCGCUCUAAAGAUCUCAAGCAUCCAUGAGCGGACAGGACGUAGAGGCCCCACCGUGAUCACCUGAUCAGAACGCCAAGAUGCAGGAAAGGGGCCAAAUCAUGAGACGGCCUUCUUCUAGGAUCCGCUCUCCAUGUCUUCCUCACGGUCUUUCACAGCCUCGCUAUUAAUUUUCCCCUCAUGAAGCCAUGACUGCCUCUUGCUAGUCUGCACAACGUCUCACUAUUUACACUGUGUAUGAUUUUUGCUGCUGUUUCACAGACGAAACAAAUAUAUUCUUUCUCUUUGCAUUUGAGAGAGAGAAAGAGUAGUUAUUCCUUUUUAUACUGCCCCUUUACCCAUGUGAAUCAUUAAAAUGUCUCUUUCACACUACAUUUCUGCCACAGUUUUAUUCAUGUAGAAACCAGUGCAGUGUUUUGGUUGUUCUGGUUUGUUCCAGAGUUCAACUGAGGUAACUGCCCAUUUUUAUGGUCACUCUUAUUACAGUUGAACAUAAUGCACUGUUCCAUCCAGACAUUUACUGCUGUUGUAGCUCACAAAAACAAAUCAGUCAGAACUAUACAACAUGCUUGUGGUACGUCCUUAAAGCUGAACGUCUGUCUAUGAAUUUAAACUCAAUAUAUAGCCAGAGCUUUAUAGCAAAUGAAAGAGAAUUACCACUUUGUUAAAUCCCCCCCCCAAAAAAAAAGAGUGCACCUUUAAUUCUCAAAUACCAGUUUGUAUGAAUAUCACAGACAUUAUGGUGUGUAGUGUAGCAUGAAUAAACUAUUUUUUUUUUUGAGUGCCAUAAUUUGUAGUGUGGAAUAAAAUAAUCAUGUGAAGAACUGCAA